GCUGUUUGACGUUAGCUGCAGAAGAAGCACCGGCUAACUCCGUGCCAGCAGCCGCGGUAAUACGGAGGGUGCGAGCGUUAAUCGGAAUUACUGGGCGUAAAGCGCAUGCAGGUGGUUUGUUAAGUCAGAUGUGAAAGACCCGGGGCGUCAACCUCGGAAUUGCAUUUGAAACUGGCAGACUAGAGUACUGUAGAGGGGGGUAGGAAUUUCAGGUGUAGCGGUGAAAUGCGUAGAGAUCUGAAGGAAUACCGGUGGCGAAGGCGGCCCCCUCGGACAGAUACUGACACUCAGAUGCGAAAGCGUGGGGAGCAAACAGGAUUAGAUACCCCUGGUAG
rnacentral:rRNA from 1 species